UACCGCACAACUUCCGUUCCUGGCGGUGGCCAUUUGAUUGGGAGAGCCAAGUUAUUGAUUCAUUUUGCAGAAGUCUCGGCGACUAGCUAUCACAUUCUCGGCUAGAGCCGCUGAUUCUAUGAUUCUACUCAGCCGUCUUCCGAUCAGCCUCGCCGGACAAAGCAAAAGCCACCGAUGACGAAGUCUCGCUUGCGAAAGUAUGUUUCUGACUCUAUAUGGCUAUGGAUUCUUGUGAGUAUUGACUAGGUAGCACUUGGAUUGGAAUUUGUGAAUUCUUGUAAAUAUGUUGUAAAUAUAUUUCUCUUGUGAGUGCUUGUGUUGAUAAUCCCAUUCGGAACAGAAUUGUAAUUUGAAUAUUUAGGAGAGAAAUAUGCGGCCAAAAACGGAGGGAAGCGAUUCGACUUGGGCCAGGGAUCACUGCAGAAGUCGGGAAGGGAGAGAAUGCUCUGUAUGAAGUCCGGCUUAUUUCUAACACUAAUCCCGGUGCUUCACCAUGAUAAAGGAUAUGGUCUACUACAAAGGCAUGCACGUGAAGUGAGAAGGUAAAGCUGCUCCCAACUUUCACCAUCCCAAUAAACGAGAAAUGAUAUCAACACUAAAGCAGAGAACCCCAAAACUAAAAGCCUUAACCUUUCUACACAGGCAGGCAGGCAGGCCUGAGGUCCUUCUUCAUGAUUGCUCUUAAUUUCUUAGCGCAAACACAAACCCCCUCCCUAACACCUGCAAAAAUAUGCCUGAAAAUGAAACACAAAGCGAAUCUCCUUUCCUUUUCCCAUUUCCUCAGUAACUUUUCAGCACCCUUUCAAAUGAGAUGUGUCUAGAAAACAAGACGAGUGGAAUGGGUCAAUGGGGAUGCGGUGAAGGAUUCUUAAAGAAAAUUACUCAUUGUUUAUGUAUCUUUUCAGGUAACUUUAUUUCUCUACGAGCUAUAAAUAUUUUUAUAAAUUGUCUAAUAAGUUCUUAAACUUUUUAUUUAGUAUUUAAUAUUUUUUUGAUAAAUCUAUUGGAAGAUAUGUGUCCAUGACAUUGGAGGAGAUGGAGUGGUAGUGUAGAAGGUAGGGGUAGAGAGGUCCCGCUUCAGUGUUUAUCUCAUCAUUAUCUUUCUCCAUUUUCGU